UACAGAGGUCCCAAGCGUUGUUCGGAUUCACUGGGCGUAAAGGGUGCGUAGGUGGUUCGUUAAGUCCUGUGUGAAAUCCCCCGGCUCAACUGGGGAACUGCACAGGAAACUAGCGGGCUUGAGUUCGGGAGAGGGAAGCGGAAUUCCGGGUGUAGCGGUGAAAUGCGUAGAUAUCAGGAGGAACACCUGCGGUGUAGACAGCUUUCUGGACCACUUCUGACGCUGAGACACGAAAGCGUGGGUAGCAAACAGG
rnacentral:rRNA from 1 species